CGAAUGGGGAGAUUCAUCGUCAACCUCUUUGGCUUACGUGUGGGUGCGAUGAUCGGGACCUCGGUCUCGCGUCACGCGCUCGCUGCGGCAUGUCCGGAGGGGUCGGCGUGCACUUCUCCCCUAGUAGGACGUCGCGACCCGUUGGGUGCUUGUCUACGGUCCGGUUGGUCGACUGGCGAGUCACGUGCAAACGCGAUCUCGCCAGACCACUGGUUUGCCCGAUUGGCUGCCCGACGGUAUUGAACGAUAAUUAACAUGGUAUUGGGCCGCACAAAGUGCGUUCAGGCCCGUCGUCAGGCUCGUCUCGCUCGGAUUUUCGAACCUGGUUUCGUUGUCGAGUGCUUGACGUGGCUGUUGGGCGACGGUGUCCUCGGACUGGCUCUAAAUAUUCGAACGGAUAUACCUGUCGGCGACGCUACUGCUUUGGGUACUUUCAGGACCCGUCUU
rnacentral:rRNA from 1 species